rnacentral:rRNA from 1 species
UGGGGAAUAUUGCACAAUGGGCGCAAGCCUGAUGCAGCCAUGCCGCGUGUGUGAAGAAGGCCUUCGGGUUGUAAAGCACUUUCAGCGAGGAGGAAGGUGGUGAGCUUAAUACGCUCAUCAAUUGACGUUACUCGCAGAAGAAGCACCGGCUAACUCCGUACCAGCAGCCGCGGUAAUACGGAGGGUGCAAGCGUUAAUCGGAAUUACUGGGCGUAAAGCGCACGCAGGCGGUUUGUUAAGUCAGAUGUGAAAUCCCCGGGCUCAACCUGGGAACUGCAUUUGAAACUGGCAAGCUAGAGUCUCGUAGAGGGGGGUAGAAUUCCAGGUGUAGCGGUGAAAUGCGUAGAGAUCUGGAGGAAUACCGGUGGCGAAGGCGGCCCCCCUGGACGAAGACUGACGCUCAGGUGCGAAAAGCGUGGGGAGCAAAACAGGAUUAGAUACCCUGGUAGUCCACGCUGUAAAACGAUGUCGAUUUUGGAGGUUGUGCCCCUUGAGGCGUGGCUUCCGGAGCUAACGC